AUUAUUUCGGACCAUUGGGGCCUCGUAUUGAGAAAAUGAGCUUCAAAUGGAAAAGUUUAGACUUAAGUUGUUAAACAUGGUCUAAGGCGCAUUUGUUGAUAUUUUUGAAGGGGAUGAGAACCCCCCAUCAGUCUUAUUUUCCCUUCUUUUCUAGCCACCACCAACAACCAUUGCUACCAUUUUUCUCUCCUUCAUUUCCUCACUCAUUUCUCCAUUUUCUCUCCAAAUUUCCACACCUCACCUUAAGACUUUGUUAAAAUCGUCAUGGAAACAACCUCCUAAGCCCAAUUCCUCCCUCAAUUUCUUCAAAUUUCAAUUUAGGAUUCCAUAGGUUUUGGUGUGAGAAAAUGAAGCUAGAGAGAGGAAGCUUCACCAAGGGUUUCCAAGCUUGAUUGACGAUGAAUUAGAGCUUAUGAAGGCUCGGAUAAAUGUUGUAGAGCUUCCAUUAAGGAGAGAGUGCGUUAAAGGAACAUUCUAUCGUCUUCUCCAUCACCAUACAUGCAUGAGAACGAAAGAAAAUAGCUUUGAGUAUCUUCCAUUGUCGUCCUUCAAUUAAGAGAAUAAACCAAAGACGACGUUGGACGUCAAAAGUGAAAGGAAAGGAAAAUGUGAGUGUUGAAUAGAUAUUGUGGUUUGUGCUUCUAAAAUUCAUUUUCAAUAAUCCAUUUGUAGAUCAACUAGUUGUUAUAGACGAACAUGAAAUAAAUGUCGAGGUAACCAGAUCCUUCCCCAAAAACUAUGAGAUGAUUUAUUGAUACUGUGAUUGCCCAAUCAAUUUAUGAAUAGUUGAAUUA